AUUGAACGCUGGCGGCAGGCCUAACACAUGCAAGUCGAACGAGUGGCGGACGGGUGAGUAAUGUGUGGGAAACUGCCUGAUGGAGGGGGAUAACUACUGGAAACGGUAGCUAAUACCGCAUACUAUCGGAUGUGCCCAGAUGGGAUUAGCUAGUAGGUGGGGUAAAGGCUCACCUAGGCGACGAUCCCUAGCUGGUCUGAGAGGAUGACCAGCCACACUGGAACUGAGACACGGUCCAGACUCCUACGUGAGGGAGCAGGGGGGAAUAUUGCACAAUGGGCGCAAGCCUGAUGCAGCCAUGCCGCGUGUAGUAAGAAGGCCUUCGGGUUGUAAAGUACUUUCAGCGGGGCGGCGUUACCCGCAGAAGAAGCACCGGCUAACGCCGUGCCAGCAGCCGCGGUAAUUC
rnacentral:rRNA from 1 species